UGAGUAACACGUAUCCAACCUGCCGUCUACUCUUGGCCAGCCUUCUGAAAGGAAGAUUAAUCCAGGAUGGCAUCAUGAGUUCACAUGUCCGCAUGAUUAAAGGUAUUCCGGUAGACGAUGGGGAUGCGUUCCAUUAGAUAGUAGGCGGGGUAACGGCCCACCUAGUCUUCGAUGGAUAGGGGUUCUGAGAGGAAGGUCCCCCACAUUGGAACUGAGACACGGUCCAA
rnacentral:rRNA from 1 species